GGCGAUCCUCGCAGGGGGAAGGCCGCGCGCGGCCCGCGGAGGUCUUUCUCCGCCUGGAAGCGCCGUCCCAGCCCCGGCGGGGAGGGUGCAGGCCUGCUCCACUCCACUUUAGAAGCCGCGCGCAACUCCACCGCGGCCUGGGGCGUCUCCAACCUGCACCGCUUUUGGCGAGUUUCCCAGUACGCGGUGCCAGGCAAACCCUCUGACCCGAGAACGCUGGUGAAAAUGCAUAUUCCUCUGCAGUUACCAAUACUAACUGGUCUCAUUUCUACUCAACGCGCGUCCUGUGAUUAAGGCUGAGGCAGUGGGUGUCUGGGGAGGAAGUCAGAGCUGGCACCCACAGGACAACCACACGUGCGCACGACACCCCGGUGAGGCCGCACAUCCAGACCAGGAUAUGAGGUCAGGCUGCGAACAGACGGGUGUGAGUUCAGAGUGAGAGGACUUAGUCCCUACAAUGAGAAUUUUCGGAGGCACGGUCUGGGCCUCUUCUCUGAUUCAUUUUCUUUAACAGAGAACUUUUCCUCUUCCUUUGGCCGAGUGCCACGGGGUGAGGGUGGGGGGACCAUUGUUUAAAAUCCAUUUCAUUCAAUUAUUUUAAACUCUUGUUUGGACUGACCACAGACAAUGUUAUAAAGCAGCAACAAUCACAGUCGUGUUACUGGCGCACACCCAGAAAUCUAGGUCAGAGGGAAACAAUAAGGAACUCAAUGGCACCAAAUAAUUCAAUAAAAUCAGGUUUAAAAACAAACAAACCCCACAGAUGCUCAGAGAAGUCAGACACCUUGCCCACAGCUGGAAACAGGCGGAGAUGGACUCAACCCAGGUCUGCCUGGCUCCAAGGAUCAGGCUCCCGACCAGUGGAUGAUGCUGACCCUUCACAUCAAGAAUAAAUUCCAAGUGGAUUAAAGCAUUGGAUAUCUUUGGUCAAAUAACUAGCAUUGUCAUUAUAUGUUUCAGAGAAAGCCUUGGUUAUGAGACCCUGGCUACUUUCUAGCCUAUCCUGUAAUGACAAAAACCCGGGUAUCUUCAGUACCUCAGGAAUGGCUAAGUAACAAGAUCUUCACUUGGCUCUGCCAAAAACAGCACAUAAAAACUCCAGUUGGACAGGAUGUAACCAGUGUAUAUCACAGGGGUUCUCGGCCAGGAUGUCAUUAACUUUCCACAUGUGUCCUGCCAAAUUCUGAUCAACAUACAACAUGUAUUUUUACUGCCAUUGAAUGGACCUACUGCUAGAGUCGUGGUACCAGAUCAGGCCUCAUGAGCAUCCAAGAGGGCACCAUCAGGGAAGUUUGCAGCUCCCAUCAUCUGGAGAUGCAGGACUACAGGGCCCCCAGGGGAUGGGUGCAGUGACUCUGGAUGCUUUCUAGGAUCUGGGAAGCGCUGUCAUUCUGCUGGACAGCCUGCGUGUGGUGACUGCUAACAUGUUUAGUGUUGUCUUGAAUCUGUCAACCUCUACACGUAAUGCCAAAAAUAACACUCAAAAGGGUGCCACCAGUACCAACUAGUGAAAAAAUACAGUAUCUGUCUGUUUUGUUGCCCUUUUGGAAAGUUCAGGGGCCUUGGAUCAGACUAUAAUAAAGUCUGUCAUUAUAUAGCAUUUCAUAUUAAAGGGCCAUAUUCAAAUUGGCGGCUUAAUGCCAAGAAUUACACAUUAUUAGGCAUUUUGGAAAUUCUAGCCAUAUCCUUGAAUACCGUCUGUUAAUAUAGGCCCAGAUAUUUGCUUGCCUUGUGCUGUUCUUUAUAUUGGUAUAUGUUUAUUUUUUUAAGCUAAUUAUUAUUACUAAUAUUCUGCUCUUGAGUCUAAAAUGAUCUUAUCCUCUUAAAUCCUCUUAAAAUGAAUAAUGCUUAUAAACUGUACCCAAAUCUUUUUAAUUUUAGUUAUAAAACCAUACAUCAACAGAUCUAACAAAAUACUGAAUUAGUGGCAAUGGAUACUGAAAAAACUGCCAAACUACACUUCUGUAUCAAACCUGGCCUAUACUUUCCAUAUCCAGCUUUUGACGCUUUUGAAAGAUACGAAGAGCAUUCUGUUACAAGCAAAUAAAGGAGAGCUUCAAUCUUCUUACCAGAAGAACACCCCAAGAAGGAUUCCUUCUAAUCAGCCUAAGACCCAAAAGCUAUUAGCUAAAAAGAAAGGGAAAAGGAAAGAAAUUAAAGACUGUGAACUAACUUGUUUGCUAUGUUGCAUUAGUUUGGGAAGAAAUACAUUUUUAAUGUGCAUGUAAUAUGUGCCAGGCACUCUUAAGCCUCACAGUAACCUAAUGA
rnacentral:lncRNA from 1 species